rnacentral:rRNA from 1 species
GAAAGGCGCUUUCGGGUGUCGCUGAUGGAUGGACCCGCGGUGCAUUAGCUAGUUGGUGAGGUAACGGCUCACCAAGGCGACGAUGCAUAGCCGACCUGAGAGGGUGAUCGGCCACAUUGGGACUGAGACACGGCCCAAACUCCUACGGGAGGCAGCAGUAGGGAAUCUUCGGCAAUGGACGAAAGUCUGACCGAGCAACGCCGCGUGAGUGAAGAAGGUUUUCGGAUCGUAAAACUCUGUUGUUAGAGAAGAACAAGGAUGAGAGUAACUGUUCAUCCCUUGACGGUAUCUAACCAGAAAGCCACGGCUAACUACGUGCCAGCAGCCGCGGUAAUACGUAGGUGGCAAGCGUUGUCCGGAUUUAUUGGGCGUAAAGCGAGCGCAGGCGGUUUCUUAAGUCUGAUGUGAAAGCCCCCGGCUCAACCGGGGAGGGUCAUUGGAAACUGGGAGACUUGAGUGCAGAAGAGGAGAGUGGAAUUCCAUGUGUAGCGGUGAAAUGCGUAGAUAUAUGGAGGAACACCAGUGGCGAAGGCGGCUCUCUGGUCUGUAACUGACGCUGAGGCUCGAAAGCGUGGGGAGCAAACAGGAUUAGAUACCCUGGUAGUCCACGCCGU